AGCGGCGGGGCUGGAUGGAGCGCGAGCGGCUGUGGCGGUGGCCGGGCCGCGGCCGCGUGAGGAGGGGCUCUGAGGCGGCGGCCUGCUCCGGCCGGGCGGCCGCAGUCCCCGGGGGCCUGCUGGAGAGGCGAGGACGCAGCGAGGCUGAGACAGAUGCUGAGAUUCUGAAAGGUAAAGCGACUUGCCUGCAGUCACAAGAUGAGCAUAUAGGAUGAGAAGAGAAAAAGACCGAGGCCUGAAUCUACUACCAGCAUUUCGGAUGCCAGCAAAGAGGAAGACAGCUAAGAAGAAAAUUGAGAAGAAACAGUAAGAGAAGAAUCAGCAGAGAGUAAUGUCAUGGAAGAAAUCCAGGGGAGGAAAGACUUUCAAGGAGGAAGAAGUGGUCAACAGCACCAAAUGCAGCAAAGAUUUCCAAUAAGUUCAAGGCAAAAAAAAAGUAUCCUUUGAGUUUGGCAACAUUGAAUGCCUAGAUCCCCAUGAUAUGGUCUGUGUCAGCAGAAAACAAGGGCAGAUGCCACAAUGCAGUGAAUUGAACAAAUGAAAAUGAAGAAGUAGAAUGAAAAAGUGCAGACCCCCUCUUUUGAAAAAUUUGGAGGGAGGAAUAGACUAUAGCUGAAGAGUGAUAGUAAGUUAAAGAUUCUAAUUUUGUCUUUUUAAAGGUGAUAGAGACUUAAACAUAGGUAUAAACUACAAAAAGAUACCUGUAGAGAAGAUGAAUUUAAAAGUAAAGAAAAAAGGUGAUGAGAGAUGGAGAGAGAUCCGGGAGGCAACAAGUGGAAGUAGGACCAAGGACUCAUGGAGAAGAAUCAGACCCCUUAACUUUAUAGGCUGAAGGGAUAGGGGUGAGGGCAAGGAUAUAGGUAGGGUAAUUAAUAAAGUGGAAUGGGCAAGAGCUUGUGGGAUUUCAUGCCUAGUAAUAGCAACAUCGUCAAUCUUUAGCUGAGGAAGAGAAGAAGUUUGGAGGGAGAACAACAAAAACAUGCAAGGGAUUAUCUUGUUAUGAAUAUAUAAUUGCCUUUGUUAUCUGCACAACAUGCACCCACCCCCUUCUUAUUGGUAACAGCACAUCAGUGUUCUUUGAAGUUCCAGCCCACCCCAUUCUAAAUCUAUGAGCUUCAGACAGGAAUCAUCCUAGUCCCAUACCCACAUCAGUGCUGGGUUCCUAACCCACAAUCAGGUCAAAGUGACAAAUUCAGAAAUGGGAACAUGUUGAAAUUCGAUCCAGGAAUUUUCCUGCAACUGUUGAGCAAGAGGUGCUCAUAGAAGGCAAACCUGGUGGACAUCUUGCCACCGGGAAGAAUGAGCCUGCCUGAGAACAAAGCUAACUCAAAGAAAGCAGAGCUCAGGGUUGGAGAGAGACUGAUCCCUGGUAACAUCAAUUUAACAUGUAUAUUUACCUCUGCCUGAAGUCAAAUAUGUCAGUAAACUUCCUUUGUGCUUAACACUAAUUUGAGUUGAGUUUUAUUACUUGCAACCAAGAGUUAUGAUGAAUCUGUGUUGGAGAUAUUGCCUGCUGGAACUCAUCCCCACACCCAUUCUUCCAUAAUCUCCCCUAUACCAACAGGACUAGAAGUCUGAAAACCACAUUUCUCAGAUGCCUUUGUCACUUAAUUCCAGUUAGGUUCCACCAGUGGGAACCCUCACAUGAGGAAGGUGAGAAGAAGGCAGACAUCCUCCUGCUCUUGUCAGUGCUUCUGGCAACAUCAGCAGCAGUGGUUCCUGCCUAGCAAAAGUGGAAGUAGUUCCAGUAGCAUCAGCAAUAUAAACUCCAGGUGCAUCAACAGCUAGUGCAGAUUUGUAGAUUCCAGCUCCUUGAUCUUUGGGCAGUAAUUUUUCUCUGUUUUGCUCCUCUAAACCAAGAUUGGUGGUAGUUUCCUGGUCUCUGGGUAACUGCUUUUGUUUUUAUGCUUCUCCAGGCUUCCCUUACAACUUUGUUGUUGUUGUUGUUGUUUUUAAGUAAACUCUGUGCCCAACACGAGGCUUAACCUCACAACCCUGACAUCAAGAGUUGCAUUCUCUACCGACUAAACCAGCCAGACACUCCCCUCCAUUACAACUUUGUAGCAAAUUCUUUGCAUUAAACUCUUCUCUGCUUGGAA